GAUGAACGCUGGCGGCGUGCUUAACACAUGCAAGUCGAACGAAGCUCUUUAUUUGAUUUCCUUCGGGACUGAUUAUUUUGUGACUGAGUGGCGGACGGGUGAGUAACGCGUGGGUAACCUGCCUUGUACAGGGGGAUAACAUAUGGAAACGGCUGCUAAUACCGCAUAAGCGCACAGCAUCGCAUGAGGCAGUGUGAAAAACUCCGGUGGUAUAAGAUGGACCCGCGUUGGAUUAGCUAGUUGGUGAGGUAACGGCCCACCAAGGCGACGAUCCAUAGCCGACCAGAGAGGGUGACCGGCCACAUUGAGACUGAGACACGGCACAAACUCCUACGGGAGGCAGCAGUGGGGAAUAGUGCAAAAUGGGCGAAAGGCUGAUGCAGCGACGCCGCGUGAGCGAAGAAGUAUUUCGGUAUGUAAUGCUCUAUCAGCAGGGAAGAUAAUGACGGUACCUGACUAAGAAGCACCGGCUAAAUACGUG
rnacentral:rRNA from 1 species